UUUGAACACUUGCGCGACUAAAGUCGAACACAGUUUCCCACGGUGGCUCUCUCCGUCCAUGAAGCGCUCUGCUCCUCCUGUCCAAUUCCUCGCCGCCGCUUUUGCCGUUGAUUCCGCCUCCAUGUCUUCUCGCCGCCCUCCGCAGUACCGUGGCAGUAAUAACAGAAAUCAGUGGGGAAGAACCUUUUCGAACGGUCCGUAUACAGAAGACUCCAGUUUAGGGUUCCUCCAAGCAGAAGCAAACCACAACUUCACUCCACGACCUUCGCCACGGCCUCCUCCGCGUUAUUAUCAAAAUCAACAAUUUCGCCAACCACCACCACCACAACCGUCCGAUCAAAACCGGAUAUUCUGGUAUUCUCCACCGUUCAAUCAAAAUCACAAUCGACAGUUCUUCAACCAGAAUCACAGGCUGCAGAGGCCUGCUAAGCCGUUGGAUUAUAGGAAUUGGGAGUAUGCCAAAACAGCGCCUCCUCGUGACUCUGAAAGAUUUAUAGUUCUUUCUUAUAAUUUAUUAGCUGAUUAUCUAGCAAUCAAUCACAGAAGCAAACUUUAUUAUCAUAUACCACGGCAUAUGUUAGAUUGGGAAUGGCGAAAGAGGAGUAUAAUUUUCGAGCUUGGUUUAUGGUCUGCUGAUAUAAUGUGUUUUCAGGAGGUUGAUAGGUUUGGGGACUUGGAAGAAGUGUUGAAGGUCCGAGGAUACAGUGGAAUUUGGAAGAUGCGGACUGGCAAUGCAAUUGAUGGCUGUGCAGUCUUUUGGAGAACAUCAAGGUUCAGAUUGGUCCAUGAAGAAUCCAUUGAGUUCAAUAAACAUGGACUUCGGGAUAAUGUUGCUCAGAUAUGUGUGCUAGAGCAGUUAAUAAGACAAGACAACACUGCAGACACAUCAACUCUACCUACAAGCUCAACCAUUUCUAAUAAAGUUGUCAUAUGUAACAUUCAUGUGCUUUACAAUCCCAAAAGAGGAGAUAUUAAGCUCGGUCAGGUCAGGAUGCUUCUAGAUAGGGCUCAUGCUGUUUCAAAAACCUGGAAUGAUGCCCCGGUUAUUCUUUGUGGCGAUUUUAAUUGUACUCCAAAGAGCCCGUUAUACAACUUCAUUUCAGAACAGAAGUUGGAUUUCUCAGGAAUUGAUAGGGGUAAAGUAUCAGGACAAGCUUCUGCUGAAAUAUGCAAUUCUAGGCCAUAUAAUUUUGGUCGUAAUCCUAAUGCUAGUCCUGGGCCUGCAAACUAUUGCAGGACUCAGUCCUCUGAUAAUUCGGUUCAAGCUCCAUUAAUGGUAGAUAGCAAGCAGAGUGAUACACUCCCAAACACGCAGAAGCAGAAUAAUCAACAUGAGAGGCUGGGAGAUGUUCCUUCUGUCAAUGACUACUCUCAGCCCAAACAUACAAGAACUGUGCUGAAUGCUUUGGAUGUGAGUGCAGGUAGUGAACUGUGUGUUGAAGAGAGAGAACUGUACAUAGCAGUCGAGCAAGGCUCAACAAUAUUUCAUGGUGAGGGCAAGUUACCUGUUGAUCAAAUGAGUGAUGAGAUGAACAAAUCAAUUCCUCCACUGACCUCCCAUCCUGAAGAUGCCUAUUCUGACAAGAGGGAACAAAGAGAAGGAGGAAAUUCUACUUCUCUUCUUAAUCAAGUAUCAUCAUGUGAGCAUUCAUCACAUACAAAUACAGAAAAUAUAAGGGAAAAGUUUGAUGAUCAUGAAGUCUCUACUUCAGCACAUCCUUCAUCUCAGCCAAUUGUUGAUGACGAGAAAACUGACCUUUCACCCUCCUAUCAAAUCAACAUCUCAGAUGCUUCGGUUAGUUAUGUAGAUGAUAAGCUACUGGAGGAUGUUUCUCUUCAGGAUCUAAAUGACUUAUUUCCAGAAAGUAGAACAAUAGGGGAAGACCAAAGUACUUUUUUAUCUGCGCUACAUGGAGUGGAGGGCUCAUUGUCACACGACCCUAAUUAUUCCCCAAAAGGACUUGCAUCUGAUCUAAAUGACUCUCAGUUGGAUUCACCUGAUGACGAAGUUCUGGUUGAUUUUUCUCUGGGACUUGAUUCUGAGGGUGCUGGUGUGGGGAAAACUGCAGACGAUCCAUCAUUAUGGACCCCCAUGGAAAUAGUGACUGCUACAGGCAAUGUAGACUGCAUGUUUGUGGAACAUCCGCUAAAGCUCAAAAGCACAUAUACACAAGUUGAGGACUGUUAUGGGACAAGAGACCCAAAUGGAGAACCCUUGGUGACCAGCUACAACAGGUGUUUCUUCGGCACAGUUGAUUAUAUAUGGUAUUCAGAAGGUCUCCAGACUGUCAGGGUGCUUGCUCCAAUGGCAAAACAUGCUAUGCAAUGGACAGCAGGAUUCCCGACAAAGAAAUGGGGUAGUGAUCACAUUGCAUUGGCUUCUGAAUUUGCCUUCACAAAAGAUGCGAGCAACAAUAACAUAGAAGUUCAAUAGCACAGAAAUGGGCUUGUGUGGUUGCAAUCUAGAGAAGCUCAGAAAUACCAUUUCAGCUCUCGGCUUAUAGUCUUCCUUCGGCAUUUGCAAAUUAUAGCAGCACUUCAUGAGAAAAUUUAAUAUUUGCUCUUGUGGCUGAUGUGGCAAGAGUAUAUAUGGCUAUAGCAUUGUUACGGAUAUAGUCCAAUGCCCAUUUAACCUAGAGAUUCUUCUUUUCAAAAGCUUUAGUGCCUCACGGGUUUAAUUUUAAUUUUUCAAUUUCUCACUAUAUAAAUUACAGAAAAUACAGUAAUAUUAAAGUAUUUUUAUUAGAAAAUAAUUUCCAUUGUAAAUCAAAAAGUUGAUGCAUGUGUGUAUAAUAUAGUGAGAAUUAUAUGAGUUGUUGAUGCUCGUUGUGAGUGGAUAUAAAAAUUAGCAAAAAAAAGGUGUAGCCAUUAACAAUAUAUAUUUUUUUUAGCAACAAGAUUUAUUUUUUUUAUUA